ensembl:snRNA U6 U6 spliceosomal RNA
UCACUUUGGCAGCACAUACAAUAAAAUUGGAAUGAUACAGAGACAAUUAGCAUCACCACUGUGCAAGGUGACAUGCAAAUUCAUGGAGCAUUCCAUGAUUUA